rnacentral:rRNA from 1 species
CCUGGCGUCAGGACGAACGCUGGCGGCGUGCCUAACACAUGCAAGUCGAACGGACGAGGGGAGCUUGCUCCCCGAGUAGUGGCGAACGGGUGAGUAACGCGUGAGCAACCUGCCUUUCAGAGGGGGACAACGGUUGGAAACGACCGCUAAUACCGCAUGAAACAUUUGGGUCGCAUGAUCUGAAUGUCAAAGAUUUAUCGCUGAAAGAUGGGCUCGCGUCUGAUUAGAUAGUUGGUGGGGUAACGGCCUACCAAGUCGACGAUCAGUAGCCGGACUGAGAGGUUGAACGGCCACAUUGGGACUGAGAUACGGCCCAGACUCCUACGGGAGGCAGCAGUGGGGAAUAUUGGGCCAAUGGGGGAAACCCUGACCCAGCAACGCCGCGUGAAGGAAGAAGGCUUUCGGGUUGUAAACUUCUUUUACCGAGGACGAAGAACGUGACGGUACUCGGAGAAAAAGCCACGGCUAACUACGUGCCAGCAGCGGC